rnacentral:rRNA from 1 species
AUGGUAUCUGAAGAACAUGCGCCUAUAGAACACCACCAACUUCACCCAUCAGAUUUGAUGUUGAAGUUCAUGAGAUGCUAUAAGAAGAUGACACCUCAGGAGAAAUUCUUUAUACAAGUGCUCCAGAAGGCGAGGUUAGAACUGAGGAAGGUUAUGCAGAUUUUUACUGCCAUGGGGAGAACGAGGCGAGAAAUUAUGUUCGACACGAUUGACAUAAGCAACAUUGCAUGCCAGGAUAGGGUUGGAGAGCGCAGCACUAAUAUCGAGGACACCAUGAAACUGUUUGCCGAUAUGCAGAGGCGGAGGCUGGGAUUCCACCAUGUGGAAGACACAGAGAACAAUGUAGUGUGGAACCUGUUUUGGACAGACUUCUUGUGCAAGAUGAAUUAUGAUCUAUAUGGAGAUUUCGUGUCUUUUGACACGACAUUCUCUACGAAUAUAUAUGGCUUGCCAUUUGCACCAAUUAUAGGUGUCGACAACCAUGGGUCGACCAUCCUGUUUGGAAUAGGCCUUUUGAAAGAUGAGAAAUAG